UACAAGAAUGCUUACUAUCAAACGGCGGAGAAAGAGAUAGCGCAAAAUGCCGAGAAAAUUGGACAAAUGCGCAAGGAGGUGACGCAAGAGAGCAUCAAAUUCCAAAAAGUUGAUCGGACUGUAUGCCUGACAUGAAUGUAUAUGGUAGUUGAGAACAUCAUUGCUCGAGAAUGUGAGGAUCGAAAGGAUUUGAAACUCUGCUUAGCAAAAGCAACUAUUGAGGUAUUAAAAGUGGACAGCUUGAUUCCACACACCAGUG